UUAGCAUAUCAAUAAGCGGAGGAAAAGAAACCAACAGGGAUUGCCCUAGUAACGGCGAGUGAAGCGGCAACAGCUCAAAUUUGAAAUCUGGCAUCCGCCCGAGUUGUAAUUUGUAGAGGAUGCUUCUGGGCAGCGGCCGGUCUAAGUUCCUUGGAACAGGACGUCAUAGAGGGUGAGAAUCCCGUAUGCGACCGGUUGGCACCCGUCACGUAGCUCCUUCGACGAGUCGAGUUGUUUGGGAAUGCAGCUCUAAAUGGGAGGUAAAUUUCUUCUAAAGCUAAAUACCGGCCAGAGACCGAUAGCGCACAAGUAGAGUGAUCGAAAGAUGAAAAGCACUUUGGAAAGAGAGUUAAACAGCACGUGAAAUUGUUGAAAGGGAAGCGCAUGCCACCAGACUUGUCGGCGGUGUUCCGCCGGUCUUCUGACCGGUCCACUCGCCGCCGCCAGGCCAGCAUCGCUUGGGACCGCCGGACAAAGGCGUGGGGAAUGUGGCUCCCUCGGGAGUGUUAUAGCCCCGCGCACAAUACGGCGCGCCCCGAGCGAGGUCCGCGCUUCGGCUAGGAUGCUGGCGUAAUGGUGGUAUGCGGCCCGUCUUGAAACACGGACCAAGGAGUCUAACAUCUAUGCGAGUGUUCGGGUGUCAAACCCCUACGCGGAAUGAAAGUGAACGGAGGUGGGAACUUUUUUGUGCACCAUCGACCGAUCCUGAUGUCUUCGGAUGGAUUUGAGUAAGAGCAUAGCUGUUGGGACCCGAAAGAUGGUGAACUAUGCCUGAAUAGGGUGAAGCCAGAGGAAACUCUGGUGGAGGCUCGCAGCGGUUCUGACGUGCAAAUCGAUCGUCAAAUUUGGGUAUAGGGGCGAAAGACUAAUCGAACCAUCUAGUAGCUGGUUCCUGCCGA
rnacentral:rRNA from 1 species